rnacentral:rRNA from 1 species
CCUACGGGAGGCAGCAGUGGGGAAUAUUGCGCAAUGGGCGAAAGCCUGACGCAGCGACGCCGCGUGAGGGAUGAAGGUCUUCGGAUCGUAAACCUCUGUCAGCAGGGAAGAACGGUCACUGUGCUAAUCAGCAGUGAAUUGACGGUACCUGCAAAGGACGCACCGGCUAACUCCGUGCCAGCAGCCGCGGUAAUACGGAGGGUGCGAGCGUUCAUCGGAAUUACUGGGCGUAAAGCGCUCGUAGGCGGUAUGUCAAGUCAAGGGUGAAAUCCCCGCGCUCAACGUGGGAACUGCCUUUGAAACUGGCAGACUGGAGUGUGUGAGAGGAUAGUGGAAUGCCAGGUGUAGGAGUGAAAUCCGUAGAUAUCUGGCGGAACAUCAGUGGCGAAGGCGACUAUCUGGCACAUAACUGACGCUGAGGAGCGAAAGCGUGGGUAGCAAACAGGAUUAGAUACCCUAGUAGUC